UGUUUCGGGCGCUGCGAGAUGACGCCAACAUAUUCGUGCCACCUGGUUUCACCGCUCAGCUUAGUUCUUGGGUGGGAAGUGAAACAGCAAAUAAGACAAUCAAUUGAGAUAAGGAUUGGGAAGGAGUUGUUGGAGGUUUGAGGAGAGAGAAGAUAUGGAAUAACCAUUUAGGAUGGCAUUCAACCAACUGUGGCCUGUAGGCCAAAUGUGGCUUGUUAUCUCUCUUGAAAAUAAAGUUUUGGGAACA